rnacentral:rRNA from 1 species
GCAUGAAGCCGGAAUCGCUAGUAAUCGCGGAUCAGAAUGCCGCGGUGAAUACGUUCCCGGGUCUUGUACACACCGCCCGUCACACCAUGGGAGUCGAUAACGCCCGAAGUCAGUGACCCAACCGAAAGGAGGGAGCUGCCGAAGGCGGGAUGGAUAACUGGGGUGAAGUCGUAACAAGGUAAC